rnacentral:rRNA from 1 species
UACGUAGGGUGCAAGCGUUGUCCGGAAUUAUUGGGCGUAAAGAGCUCGUAGGCGGUCUGUCGCGUCGGCUGUGACAACCCGGAGCUCAACUCCGGGCCUGCAGUCGAUACGGGCGGACUUGAGUGUUGCAGGGGAGACUGGAAUUCCUGGUGUAGCGGUGAAAUGCGCAGAUAUCAGGAGGAACACCGGUGGCGAAGGCGGGUCUCUGGGCAGCUACUGACGCUGAGGAGCGAAAGCGUGGGGAGCGAACAGG